rnacentral:rRNA from 1 species
UACAGAGGGGGCUAGCGUUAUUCGGAAUUAUUGGGCGUAAAGGGCUCGUAGGCGGCCAACUAAGUCAGACGUGAAAUCCCUCGGCUUAACCGGGGAACUGCGUCUGAUACUGGAUGGCUUGAGAUUGGGAGAGGGAUGCGGAAUUCCAGGUGUAGCGGUGAAAUGCGUAGAUAUCUGGAGGAACACCGGUGGCGAAGGCGGCAUCCUGGACCAACACUGACGCUGAGGAGCGAAAGCCAGGGGAGCAAACGGG